AUUGAACGCUGGCGGCAGGCCUAACACAUGCAAGUCGAACGAGUGGCGGACGGGUGAGUAAUGUCUGGGAAACUGCCUGAUAGCGGGGGAUAACUACUGGAAACGGUAUCUAAUACCGCAUACCCUCGGAUGUGCCCCGAUGGGAUUAGCUAGUAGGUGGGGUAAAGGCUCACCUAGGCGACGAUCCCUAGCUGGUCUGCGAGGAUGACCAGCGACACUGGAACUGAGACACGGUCCAGACUCCUACGCGAGGCAGCAGUGGGGAAUAUUGCACAAUGGGCGCAAGCCUGAUGCAGCCAUGCCGCGUGUAUGAAGAAGGCCUUCGGGUUGUAAAGUACUUUCAGCGGGGAGGCGUUACCCGCAGAAGAAGCACCGGCUAACUCCGUGCCAGCAGCCGCGGUAAUAC
rnacentral:rRNA from 1 species